rnacentral:rRNA from 1 species
UACGUAGGGGGCAAGCGUUGUCCGGAAUCAUUGGGCGUAAAGCGCGUGUAGGCGGUUCGGUAAGUCUGCUGUGAAAGUCCAGGGCUCAACCCUGGGAUGCCGGUGGAUACUGUCGGACUAGAGUACGGAAGAGGCGAGCGGAAUUCCCGGUGUAGCGGUGAAAUGCGCAGAUAUCGGGAGGAACACCAAUUGCGAAGGCAGCUCGCUGG